rnacentral:lncRNA from 1 species
AUCUACUGAUUUGUAUGGAACCAGCAGCGCCGAUAUUUUAUUUCAUCUUACAGAGUCUUAUUUAUCACUCUUUUCUUUGUGAUUGUGCUUUCUUUUUUAUCCAUAGGAUGCAGAAAAUGCGAUUGUGCAUAUGGGCGGUCAGUGGUUGGGUGGUCGUCAAAUCCGAACCAAUUGGGCCACUCGUAAACCACCUGCACCUAAAAGUACACAAGAAAACAACACUAAGCAGUUGAGAUUUGAAGAUGUAGUAAACCAGUCAAGUCCAAAAAAUUGUACUGUGUACUGUGGAGGAAUUGCGUCUGGGUUAACAGAUCAGCUUAUGAGACAGACAUUCUCACCAUUUGGACAAAUUAUGGAAAUAAGAGUUUUCCC